rnacentral:tRNA from 1 species
AAAAUCCGUCGACUUUAGAAAUCGUGAGGGUUCAAGUCCCUCUAUCCCCCCAAAAAGACCGAUUUGACUAUUUCUCCUACCCUCUCUUUUUUUUAGUGGUUCAAAAUUCGUUCUCUUUCUCAUUCAUUCUACCUUUUUACAAACGUAUCAGAGCAGAAUUUUUUUUUUAUCACAAUCACAAGUGGUGUGGUAUAUAUGAUAUACGUACAAAUGAACAUCUUUGAACAAAGAAUCCCGAUUCACAAUUCAUAUCAUUGCUCAUACUGAAACUUAUAAAUUAUUCUAUUCAAGAAAUCGAAUUCCACGCUCAAGACUUUUAAUACUUUUUUAAUUGACAUAGACCCCAGUCAUCUAGUAAAAUGAGGAUGAUGCGCCGGUAAUGGUCGGGAUAGCUCAGCUGGUAGAGCAGAGGACUGAAAAUC